CUAUGUUUGAAGUUGUUGAGUCAUUUUUGGCAAUACACUGGUGUUGUAUUCAUGGUUUUAGCUGUUGAAAUUCCGUCCCGGACUCACCUACUGGCUAUGAGCUAAGCCACCAAUGUCUUCACAUCCUAGGGGAGAGAGGAGCUGCUACCCCUGGGGAGAGAGGAGCUGCUACCGCUGGGGAGAGAGGAGCUGCUACCCCUGGGGAGAUAGGAGCUGCUACCCCUGGGGAGAGAGGAGCUGCUACCCCUGGGGAGAGAGAGGAGCUGCUACCCCUGGGGUGAGAAGAGCUGCAACCAGCAGAGACUGCGACCAUGCUCGGGAAGAGCUUAGUGAUUGGUGAUUGUUGGGGCAUGAUUGGCAGGAGCUUCAGUGAUGAAGACUGCUGCACUUGCUGAUGUUUCACAAUAUGCCGCGGCCGUCUCAGUCACCAGGUCUCAACACAAUAGAACACCACCAUCCCUCCAAUAGACUUCCAGACAGUUGUAGAAUGUUUGCCAAGGCUCAUUGUAAGAGCUGUAAAGAGAGAGGGACUCGGAGAGAGAACAGGUAGAACCUGAUAUGUAAAUGAGCAGAGCAAACGAAUGCAACUUUCGACGACCGAAUGAUCAUUCAGACUCUGUUUCUAUUGAGAGAUAAAAGGCUGGUUGAAUGAGUUGCCUGUGAAAGCUACUUCAUCUGCAAGAAAACAGGCGGCUGCACCAGUGACUGGGUCAGUGCUCUAAAAUGAGUCUCUCUGGGGAGAGAGAGGAGGG